rnacentral:lncRNA from 1 species
ACAUGGACUUAAAAGUGAUGAGUCGUGGUGGUGGCAUCCGUGUCACUGCCACAGCCUCCUUGAAGUGCUCCUGGGACAACGCGUUGCUUUCCACUGAGGGACCAGAAGCCAGUGGCCAGCUUCUGUUGGGGGUGUGUGACUGUUCCCUGAACACAUACUUAUUGAUUAGAUCUUGUACCUGAUCCUCUAACUCCUGGCCUCCCAUCUCUCCACAGAAGGGUCCACAGAGGUGAUGCUCACGUGGGGAAGUAGCCACGGUGCAACCGUCACAGGAUUCGAGGGGCUACCAUGAUGGGCUGACGUGACGACGGCAGUGAGACGGCAGCCCUCCUGGUCCAGGAGGACGAGCGGGAGUCACCCCUGCUUAGGGAUCCUGUCCGUCCCAGUGGCCACCCCCAGGCUGCCCGGGCCGUGUGGAUGCGGGAACGCCACCAGCAGCACUGCCUCACGGUACUUGGAGGGAGGUCGUCCGUGGUGAGUUCGCAUUAUUUAAUGAUGCCCAAUACGCGGUCGAUCUCUUUUCGGUAUCACAUUGCACCGGGCAUCUACUCAGAGUUCAUGGGGACUCCAGGGAAGACACACUCAUGUGGGUUCCACGCCAGUAUACCUGAACAUGCAGUUGGCCCUGGAACUACCAGACAGGUGCCGCCAGCAUCCCUAUCAUUCAGUCAAUCCAUGGAUGACCAUGUGAUUUAGGUUUAAGACCCAAGUGAUUGGGGCAAUAGGGAUGUCCAUGAUGCUUCUGGGGAUUCUGGCUUUUCUAAAAGAAAAACAAACCAAAACCCAGUGGAUAGUUCCCUUCUGUUUUAGUAUUAUAUCUUGUCCUGGAGUGGAGGACCUCUGAGCCAUGCUGGCAAAGUCACGGUGGGGGAACCAGUAUUAGUAUAUUUUCUGGGCUAAGAAGGGACAAAUCAUCGUAUCUGUUGACCUGGAAGUCCUACCAAAUUUGAGGGCAGAGGGCAGUGCUAGUUUCAAUUUCUUGUUUUUCAUUUAAGAAUGACUAAUUAUUUUACAUUGUUACCAUACAUAUAAAAAAGGGUUGCAAAGAAUUGGACAUAAAAAUGACACAUACUUAACAGUAAAAAUUCAAGCAGUGUGGGAAAAUAUAAGUAAAAAAGGGAGAUAAUAUCCAAUCUCUGCAACCCAGAAGUAACCAUCAGGGCUUUAGAAAUUUCUAAAUACUUGCCCGAGCAUAUAUCCAAAUAGAAAGAUAGACAAAGUGAGACACAAAUAUUUUACCAAUAUGUAAUUUUUGUUAAAAUGUUAACUGUAGUUUUACUAAAGUUUUUUGUUAAAAACGUCAACCACCAUUUUAACACAAAGAAUAUGCUUAAGAAAAUUAGAAGAAUUAAUAAAUAUUUCUUGCUCUUCUGAAAGAAGUACUAAUUUCUAAAAGAUCCCUAUAAGAUUAAGAAAAAUCAUUGUGUAAAACAUGAAAUAGUUGGGAUCAUUACAUAUUUUUUAACUGUUUUAAUUUCACUCGAGGUUCUGAAAGAUAAGGAAAUCAGCUCUACCUCCUGCUUUUUUUAAAGCUAUACUGUACAAUAUAAUUUUCUCAUUAUAAAUAUUUGCAUUGUGUUCUAUAAUCACAAUUCUUAUAGAUGUUAAAUCAUUGUUCUAUAUUUAAAUGGAUUCAUUGCUGACAAUUAGUGUUUUUCCCCCCUUAAACUAAACCUUUCUUCCUAAGUUUUAAUUCCUAUCUCAGAAUAAUUGCUUUUAAUUUUAAUUCAUAUCAGAAUAACUGUUUCAUCAAGAAUGGCUCAUUAACACUGCUCAGUCCUUGCACGUCUGGGGAUACCUGCCUCUUGUUUAUAUCCACAAGGGACAACUUAGCUAGGCAUAACAUUCCUAGUCUACUUUUUUUCCCCUCGGAACUUUGUAGAUGCUGCUCCAUUGUCUUCUGCACUUAGUAUCAUAAUAGCUUUUAAACUAUGAAUUCUCUACACACCUCUUGCUUAGCUAGAUACACAUCCUGUGGACCUUCAUACACUUUGUUAGAAAGGCUUUGGGUCACUGUCUUCUGUGAGGUCUUCAUCUCUGAGAAUGUCUAACCAUGACUGUUACACUUGUACUCAUCUGCUUGUUUUUUUCAUACUCUUCUAUGCUUUUCAGUUCUUUUUACACUUAGACAUUUUGACAAUACUUACAGUUCAUUUCUCUCAGGUUUAAGGGUGUAAGUGCUAGUCUUUGGUGAGUUGGUUGACUCAGAAUAAUACUUUCCUUCACGGGUUCUGUAACUCUUUUCUGUGAGGUUAUUCAUCAGGGGGAUUAAUGUUUGUGUGGUUUGUUGUGCCCUUGACAACACUGUGGUUCUGCAUUUGGGUUUGUGUGGCAUCAGGCUUCCAACAGUCAGGACUCAUUUGUUGGCCUCAGGAGCCCCAUACCUUAUAUCUGGUAUAAAUCCUCGCCACAUCUUGGUCCAGGAACUUGGCUUCUCACAGGGGAGCACAUUCUACCCACAACUUGCAUGGAAAUAAACUCUCUUGUCCUCUCUCAAAAAAAAAA